GCUCAACCGGGGAGGGUCAUUGGAAACUGGGAAACUUGAGUGCAGAAGAGGAGAGUGGAAUUCCACGUGUAGCGGUGAAAUGCGUAGAGAUGUGGAGGAACACCAGUGGCGAAGGCGACUCUCUGGUCUGUAACUGACGCUGAGGAGCGAAAGCGUGGGGAGCGAACAGGAUUAGAUAC
rnacentral:rRNA from 1 species